GCGGGAAUAGCUCAGCUGGUAGAGCAUCGCCUUGCCAAGGCGAGUGUCGCGGGUUCGAAUCCCGUUUCCCGCUCCA
rnacentral:tRNA from 1 species